GCGAGUAUAGUUUAGUGGUAGAACAUCAGCCUUCCAAGCUGAUCGUGUCGGUUCGAUUCCGAUUACUCGCUCCA
rnacentral:tRNA from 12 species